GAAAAAAUAUGUACAUAAUCUGGCUAUUCAUCAGUGGGAGGAAAUGCUUUCUAGGAGGCUGCAGUAGCACAGCCAUAGGGAGAGCUGCAUUUUGAACCCACUGCACAGCAGAACGGUUUGUCAACUUUCAAGCUGAAAAAAAAUAGUAAUAAGAAAGGGAAGCGAGGCUGCUGUGUUCUGGCUGUGCUUGUUCUCUCACAAAGCAGAUGUAAAUGGGGAGGCUGGGACCCCUGCCAUGUGCUCGGAGUCCCGCAGCUUGCUUGAUGCGAUCUGCUUUCACCAAACGGCUCGUGCAUAAGCCUGCACAUGUAUUUAACUCUGAUGAAAACCUUUAACAAUGAGAAAUAUGCCUGUUUUGGACCAGAAGAAGACAGAUUAAUGUUACAAAGGCUAAGCUUGAUUCUGAACGUUGGGAAAUCUGCGGUGGGACGAUGCAGGGGCUCAGGGAGCCUUGCUCCGGGACGAAACGCAAGGAGCCGUGGGAGCGAUGUGCCGCCCGCCCCAGUGAGAUGCGCCGGGGCCGGAGGAGACUGCGCCCGCCCUCUGCCGGCAGCAGCCCGCCGCGCCCGGGGACGCGCAGGAGGGAGCGCAGUCGCGGCCACGCAGCGGUCCGAGCCGAGAGGGGCCCACGGGGGGUGACCGAGGCCACCUCUUGGCUCCACGCUGCGCCUCCCAAAAUUCGGCAGCAGGGUUCGACUUCGGUGUUCGUGCUGCGGGAUUUCGGGCAAAUCAAGUGCGGAGACCGAAAGGAUCAAACUUUGGGUUUUUUUAAGUGCUACAGAGUAUUUGUAGAUGGGAAUAAAUAAAUAAGAGAACUGUCACCCGUUCAUAGACAACUCGCAUGAAAGAUAAAGCUCUUUGACAUAUCAUUUGGCUGUAGUUUGAGGGCAUGGAUUUCAAUAACGGGCAAGGAACCAAAGCCUCACUGCCUUUCAAGGAUAUAACAUCCCUGAGUACUGAAAGUGGCACUUGCACAUCUUUGAGUCUUUUGUCUUUAUUCCGUAGGCGUACAAGUCUGCAGCUCCAGCAGCACCCUACUGCACAAGUUACAAGCUCAGUGUUAACAGGAUAAUACGCAGAGCAUCCAGUAUCCAGCAGGAGCACAGGUACAGAACUUGACCUGAAUGUUAGCAUAAUUACUUGAAACGCUCUUGUAGUUCAAGACCGUCCCCUUCAGACAUCAUGAGAAGCCCAACUGUUCUAAAGAGCCGUGAGGGCAACAUUAAUUGCCAUACAUUUAUUAAGCAAGCAGGAGCGUGUGCAGCCAAAAAGGUGUCAUGAACAGGACAUCAUGCUGCUCCCCAGUGAUUCAGCACAGAUCUGGAGGGUUGGCUAUUAUGAGGUGAAACACAGUUUAAAUCCUUUCCUCUGGGUAGGGGGGUAUGGUUUGACCACAGCCAUGCUAAUACAACACUCAGACAGAAAAUUUAGCACACAGCUAUAGCAUGUGAGCUUGGGUGGUCUUUGGAAGAUCUGGUUCCCUAAAUGAGUAAACUACACAGUGAUCUGGAAGUGAUUCUGGAAGCUGAAACGCAGUCACCUGUUUUCAUAGCUUUUGCUAGCUAUGAAAGAAACUUUCCUCGGAUCACACUGCCAUCACAAACAGUCAUUCCCAGCAUGAAGAAAAAAAACCUCAGAAAUUUCAGCUGGGAAUGAUGUUGUGUUGCUCUCGAAAUGUGGGUAGUUUCAUUUGCAGAUGCACAGUGUCACACAAAGCAAUUGCAGAGGAAGUAAUUGCCUACAGAGAUAAAACUGCAGUAUUUGAUGCCUUGUGGUGUGUAUGUCAGUGAAGUAAGAGGUACGUAUCAUACCUGCUUUUUUGAUUGUACUAUGCUGGGCUCUGCCAUAAAAUAAGAACAGCAUGGCAGAGCCUGAGGAAAUGGUACAACCAAAAGCAGGUGUGUGUGGUAUGCCUUCAAUGACAGGCAAGUCACAUGCUGCCCAGCAAUGCAAACAGCCAGGGGAAGAGCUUGCAAAAUGUAGCCUUUGCUCAAGUACUUCAUGCUGCUUCAGGUGUGUUCCAGUAGCAGAGAGCACUCUAUCAAGUGUAAUCACCUGAGGUGGAGCCUCAGUCUGCUCUCUUAUAAAUACUUGUGAAGCAAGUGCUUCCUCAGGUGAGUUGCCCCACAGUGACAGUAUCUGCCUAGGGACACAAUGCUCAGGGCAGGAAUGGGUUACAGAAUCUUACCUGUAGUCAGCAACCCAUGGACAAGGUUUCCCUGCUUGUUCAAACCAGCACCGCUCCCACCUAACACAGAGUACCUUACUACCUCUGCUCCAGUCAUGGUCCAAAUUUCCCAGCUCUAUGCAAUGGGGAUCAGGAAAUCAUUGCUUUUAUACAGUGCCUACUGCAGUGUAUCACUUCACCUGAGCUGUGCCACUCUUACAACAGAAAAUAUAAGUUCCCAAUCCAUUGAAUGCUGUAACUAGAUUAAAUUUUUGUAUACAUUGUUAUAAAAGUAGAGACUCUCAAGAAAACAAGCAAGAAAACUAGAGCAAAAUCUAGUAACUUAUACUACUAUUCUCAAUGUUAAUUAUGAAAGCCGAUAGGACUUUUCCAAUCCAACCUACCUUCUACUUGAUUGUUUCGCAACUCCAGCUGCUUGGGCAAUAAAACCCACUGGAGACAAAUGUACCAGCACUGCUCUUUCAAAAACUGCCCGUCAAGAGUUGGAAAUUCCUGAGCUGACAUCAGGGGUGAAAAAUUUCAAGUACUCAUUUAGAACCUUACUCUCAUUUAAAAAGCUCUUUUGGGAAACAGACAAACAAACACACACACAGGUUACAUAGAAACACACAAACAUUAGCCUUGUUUGCACAGGCUCUUGCUAUGGAUAUGAAGAGCACCUUCAUAUUUCUUGAAUCUGGCUGAAGAUACCAGCUAAAACAGCACUCAUUAGGCACCUAAAUCCACUUUCCAAAGCAAACUGUUUGACACCCCAAAUUUCUGUCUAAAAUUGGAGAUUAACAUCUGCUUCAGAUAAUUUUCUGAUGGGUAUUCAAUAGUUGUUAAAGGCAUUUAAAGACAGUAAAAUGAUAAACUUAAGGUGGGAUAUAUUUUUAAGUCACCCACUUUUCAAACAUUCAAGAAAAUAUCCUUUCCAGCCACAUUCCAUCAGAAAGCAAAAAGCAAAUCCACUUUGGAAUAAACCCAGGCAAUUUGCACUUUCUAAUCCCAAAUCCCUGAAUUAUCUCAGUCCUUUAACUGUGUCAAAUCUGAAACGUAUUAAGCCAGGCUAAUAAUUCUGUUCACCUCGCAGGGAGAAAGCUAAAGAGUCCUUGGGACAGCCUGCCUCUUGUAUGGGCUAUGUCCUGUGUGGUGGCAUUUGGGAUGCCCAGGCACAGGUAGCAUUUCUCAGCACACGGAGGACCUCUGAGGAUGCUCCAUGAUUUGGGCAUGUGCGUCAGAUCGGAUGCACUCUCUUAUGCAUAAUGGAGCACAGAAAAAUUGGAAAGCACUUUCUCCAGAGAGCCUCUGUUUGGCUUUUAAGUGCUGUUGUUUGAACUGCCUUCUGCAGGUCAAAGCAUAUCCACUUCCAGCAGGAAAGUGACUCCUCCACACCUUAGGCUGCACUACUCCGGUUGCUUUGUCUACCACACCUUGGGUAUUCAGAAAAGACUUGCUUUGUCCCCCAGCUGAGAGUUAGCUGUCCCCAUGCUGUCACUUGCAUCCUGACUGUGAGCAGCUCUGCUCCCCAUGCACUAUACCCGGGCAGAGGCUGACACGCUGGCAGCCACUAGAGAUCCCCAGACAAGGCUGCAGGGACAUCGACUUGAAAUUGGGAUGGACCUAUUUAAUGAGGUCACUGAGGUACUAACUAGAAACUAAGCCUGGAACUACAGGUAUUACUCCUGGGAAGACCCAAAACAUCAAAAAUAAAUUAACUCCAUCUAAUGGAGGAGCCAGACCUCCCUCUCCUGUCUCUCGUGGCACUAGAUGUGCCCGCCAGCUUGUGCCUCAAUGCGUACAACUUCCAUCUUUCAGGGAUCUGUUUUCUUGCCUCUGCAAAGCUUCCUCUAGCACAAGAGAAACAGUAAGUACCCAACGAAUGACAGAAGCUCCCAACUUUACCGAGUUAUGGCAAAACUGGCAAACAAAUGUCAUAGAUGGGGAAAUGCUCUGUUCACUUCCCACGGCAUAAGGCUGGGGAGUAAGAGGUCUGGGAUGUGUAUAGGGCAUAAGUAAUACAACAAACAAGCAAACAAACAAACAACAACAAAAAACCAACUUGUUCUGGAAUUAUGUUCUUGUUCAGAGUAUCCUUUCCACUGCUUACACGGCCUCCAAGGUGAUGACGGAGCCUCAGUGUUUU
ensembl:lncRNA